rnacentral:lncRNA from 1 species
GCUUCUUUUACCCUCACAAAAUCUUUAACAUCGAUAUGCAAACAGCUGUAUGUCUAUCUUACAGACUGAGAAAUAAAGCACAGAAAUGCAAGCAGGAUAUUAUCACAAAGGCAAAGUAGAAAAGGAAGAGUGGGCACCAGUGUCCUGGAUGUGUCACUGGGUGAUGGUUGUGCAAGGCCAGCUGGGGGUUCAGGGCCAGGUCACAGGGUCAGAAUAGAAAGAAGUCCAAGGAGUUCUGCAGGUUCCCG